CUUCUUUCGGUCUUCAGCAUCACAGCAGUUGAAAUGUUGUUGCAGCCGUGCCUGUUAAGUCCUCGGUGAGCUGGGUUAAGCACUCGUUGGAAGUUCUAGUCUUCCGCAGUCCAGUUGAUGCCUAAACUGCGGGUCGUGCUGCUGUUUUCCUUCUGUUUUCCUUAGUUUGGGUUGUUGUGGUGUGAAGAUGGAGUUUAUGCAUUUCCUUUUGUGUGUGGGUUUUGUGUUUGUUUUGAGCGUGGUGGUUCGAGUGAGUUGUUUAGGCCGAAUUGGUAGUGGGUCCUCCACUUAAAAUCUCAUUCUAAGUGGUACUGGUUUGUUGCCAGUGAGGUAGGACGCUACUUUACUCCAUUAAUUGGCCUUUUUGUUUAGUAAUUGUGAUUUUGUUCUUUUUUCCUUUUCUUGAGUGAAUAUUUGAUAUUUGUAUUUUUAUUGGACCCACUAACUUCUUUUUGUUAGUUCAAGGCUGAGCACGCCGAAGGGGAGGCUAGUCACCUGGGUGAAGCACUUUGUUGUGAGUUUGGAGCACCCGGGUUUGAGCACCUCUUCCUAUUGUUUGCUGAGCACAUGUUUGGUUG